rnacentral:rRNA from 1 species
AACGUAGGAGACAAACGUUAUCCGGAGUUACUGGGCGUAAAGGGCGUGUAGGCGGUUAGUUAACUCUGGCGUGAAAGCUCUCGGCUAAACCGGGAGAGGUCGUCGGAUACUGGCAAACUAGAGGAUGGUAGAGGCGUGUGGAAUUCCGGGUGUAGUGGUGAAAUGCGUAGAGAUCCGGAGGAACACCAGUGGCGAAGGCGACACGCUGGGCCAUACCUGACGCUAAAGCGCGACAGCAUGGGGAGCGAACGGG